rnacentral:rRNA from 1 species
AAGUCGAACGGUAACAGAAAAAGCUUGCUUUCUGCUGACGAGUGGCGAACGGGUGCGUAACGCGUAUGCAACCUACCUUCUUCUAAGGAAUAGCCCAGAGAAAUUUGGAUUAAUACCUUAUGAUAAUAUUUAUUCGCAUGUUUAAAUAUUUAAAACUCCGGUGGAAGAAGAUGGGCAUGCGUAACAUUAGUUUGUUGGUGAGGUAAUGGCUCACCAAGACUACGAUGUUUAGGGGGUCUGAGAGGAUGAUCCCCCACACUGGUACUGAGACACGGACCAGACUCCUACGGGAGGCAGCAGUGAGGAAUAUUGGUCAAUGGACGAAAGUCUGAACCAGCCAUGCCGCGUGAAGGAUGACGGCCCUACGGGUUGUAAACUUCUUUUGUAUAGGAAGAAACCCCUCUACGUGUAGAGGGUUGACGGUACUAUUCGAAUAAGCACCGGCUAACUCCGUGCCAGCAGCCGCGGUAAUACGGAGGGUGCGAGCGUUAUCCGGAAUUAUUGGGUUUAAAGGGUGCGUAGGCGGAAAUUUAAGUCAGUGGUGAAAGCCUGCAGCUUAACUGUAGAAUUGCCAUUGAUACUGGAUUUCUUGAAUCUAAUAGAAGUAGGCGGAAUAUGACAUGUAGCGGUGAAAUGCUUAGAUAUGUCAUAGAACACCGAUAGCGAAGGCAGCUUACUAUGUUAGUAUUGACGCUAAUGCACGAAAGCGUGGGGAGCGAACAGGAUUAGAUACCCUGGUAGUCCACGCCGUAAACGAUGAUUACUCACUAUUGGCGAUACACUGUCAGUGGCUAAGCGAAAGUGAUAAGUAAUCCACCUGGGGAGUACGAU